ACACAUCGGUAGUUUAAAGCCACUUGCGAAAUUCCAAUCAUUGAUAAUUCAACGUUCUAUAUGUAUUAUAGUAUAUUCGUUAGUUUUUGGACAAAAAAUUUGAAAUUAGAAACUGAAGCUUAUUUGUACUAUCGAUGAUAUAAUGUUUUUUUGUAUGAUUUGAAGAACUUUCCUUUGACGAACACGGAAAAACAACACACUCUCCACAGCGGUGCAUCGAGUACUGAAUACGAGUCUCGACUUGUGUCCCCUCCAGAAUGGUCUACCCCACCACGAGCCCCAACCAUUUUGCUGGACGAAGGGCUUGAGAACGCGUCUAGGCGUCGAAUAUAUACUUGGAAGUUACUGUAGCAAACGAUGAUGCUGCUGAUCCUUUUCAGGAUCCACUUUCGAUACACACAAAAUGCUUUUUAUGUAAAGAGCGAUUAUUCUCAUUUUUCUGUCUAUGACGAAUCGUUUAUCAGGCUAUCGCAAGGACAUCAUGAUGUUUAUCAUACGAACGAAAUAUACUGUGUGACAGUAGUGUGAGAUAGUGAAAUUUCAAUUGCAUAAGAUUGCUUCGGAUUUCUCGCGAGGUGAAAGAUUCAUUGAGAAUAAAUGGAAGCUGUUUAAAGGAGAAAAUUAAGAAAUAAGAAGGGCCCUGUUAAACCGAUCGAGUCACCGAUGGGGCUUCGAUCGUUCGAUUUCUUGUUCGAUUUUUUCAUAACGAAGAUCCCUGUAACCGCAAUAGCGAGAGAAGAUGAAAGAGAAACAAAGAUAAUUGGCGAGGAUCGUGGUGGGGCUUAAGACAGCCUGCGCCAACUCUCUGGGAACGAGUACAUACGCCGUCGAAGAUGGUUUGGCGAGUACAGAGGGGCGAGGAAGAGGAGGUAGAAGCUGCUUAAGGAGGCCACGGAAUCUGCAGACGUCUCACCGUCGACCAGUUUUCUCAUACGGUCGACAUAUGGUAUGUACCCGGUGGCCUAAACUUCCACAGGAUAAAUCUCUACCUGAGGUGAGCCCUUGACCUGCCUUCUAAUGCAAAACUGUUUACUACGAUCAACAUAUAUUAUCAGAUGUUAACUCAAAAACAUGAACAGAAACAAAAUGGCGUUCGUAUCAUUUCUUAAAUCCUUUUCUGGUUUCCCAUGUAUAUACAUAGAUUCUGAAUUCUAUAAAAUAAAGAGAUCUAAAUACUACAGUCUAGACUAGUAUAGCUGAAUUAGUAUAUCAAACUUGUAUAAGCUAAGUCUGACGACAUGACUCGAGUCUUGCCAAGGUCUGGGUUAAAUAUAAGUCUAGGCUGGGUCUAGGUUGAAUCUACUUAUAUUAUCGAAAUGAAAUCUUAUAUUUCUACUAAUAUUUGUAACUUGUGUUACGCGAGAGUUAUCCAGAAUUAAAAUGGAAGAUGGUUAUUCGGAACGUGAAAAAUGAAAUCAGUCUCUUUGGAAUGUCCGAAUCGAUGACUCGACUCUAACGACUGUAAUCUGAUAAGGAUCGAUUUCAAGGCUUAUUAUGGACCUAUUUUCCUGGCACUAUACAACGUAUGCAUGUGUCAUUAUCAGACCCGUAUUGGCGCUUUUCUAUUCAGUUUAGCGGAAAUACAACGCGUCCACUUCGUCAUCGCAAAUAUCUUCAAGCAUAUAGACGUCGAGGCUGCGGAAAAACGAUCCAAAAAAAAAGACAGGCAGAAAUGCGUCUAAAUAUACAUGGUCGCGAUGCGAUGUUGGAAAGUAUCCUGGCUGGCGUCCACUGGCGCCGAAUCUAAAAAAAAGUCUGGGGAAUACGCGUUCGGCAGAUUUAACAUAAUAAGCUCGUUGUACGGGGUGUUGCGAAAAUUUCUAUGAAUAAUCACUCGGUUCAUUGUUUCUUUUCUUUUUAUAUGUAUAUACAGUGAAUAACAGAAGUAUUCUAAUACUUGUAUAUACAUUUUAUGAAUAUAUUAUGUUGAAAUUUCAUUAACACUGUCACGAGACUAUUGCGAGUAAUAUCAUAAUAAAUAUAAUCAAUAUAUA